UGCGGGAUGGUGUAACGGUAGCACGCAUGGCUCUGGACCAUGUAGUCUAGGUUCGAAUCCUGGUCCCGCAG
rnacentral:tRNA from 1 species